UACGGGGGGAGCAAGCGUUGUUCGGAUUUACUGGGCGUAAAGGGCGCGUAGGCGGCCACCGCAAGUCGACUGUGAAAUCUCCGGGCUUAACCCGGAAAGGUCAGCCGAUACUGCGGGGCUAGAGUGCAGAAGGGGCAACUGGAAUUCUCGGUGUAGCGGUGAAAUGCGUAGAUAUCGAGAGGAACACCUGCGGCGAAGGCGGGUUGCUGGGCUGACACCGACGCUGAGGCGCGAAAGCUAGGGGAGCGAACAGG
rnacentral:rRNA from 1 species